GGAGAAUAACACGUCAGGUGGUGAGCACCAGGCCAGCUUCUGACAACACUGAGACCUAGUGUAGAUGAAAACAGACCCACACCAUGACAAUCACAACGAAAUUUCAGAAAGAGGAUAGAAAAGAAGAGACCUUGAAAACUUCAAGAGGCAACAAACACAGGCCCGGAGUCUAGAAGACAUUUUAGCAAUGCCUUCCAAAUUCCGAGGAAAUAUAUUCCAACACGGAGUUCUUAUCAAGUCAAGAUGUUACUGCCAGGCAAAGUGAGAAACAGUAAUGGAGAAAACCAAAAAAUGGAAAAAAUGGGAUCCACGCAACAGGGGAGCUAGAACAAAGAAGACAAAGGGCUCCCAGGGUGAGGUGAAGGAGAUCCGGGAUGUCAGCCCUGCCCCAGGAGUGCAGGGAACCUGUCCACGUGUGGCAAGACUGAGGGCUGUGAGACAGGUGUUUCCACAAAGAUGAAGUUGGUAGAAUGCCUAAUGUGCUCAAAUAUAUUUGUGAACAUUUAGACUCUGGGGAGAGUAGUGGAAUGAUUUAAUAAUGAAUACAACAGAAGCUAAGCAAAUGAAGGAACAAGAUAUUUACUAACUGCAAGGAACAUGAAAAGUUGAUUCAAGAAAGGGAAAGAUAUCAUAGUUUCCUAAAUGCUCAGUUGUGACUAAUGUUUACUGGUCCUAAUAAUGCAGACACUGCACAUUGAGCUAAUCAGUUGUACAGUAAUUAUAUUGGGAGGAUGGGAGAGUGUGA